CCCCUUUCUUGUCUUUUUACAGUGUAACCAUAUAGCCAGCUGGGGACUUAGGAAAUACGACAAUAAAAUGAGGAAAUGGGUUUGAUAAUCCUUUCAGAAUGUCUCCCUUGCCACGGUGAAACACCUUGCCCUGAGUUCUUAUCUCUGGAAGUUGAACUGAUAAGGAAUGUGAACCAGCUUGAACAAGGACCCUGGGGAAUGGCAGAGCCUCCAAAUAGAAGCAAUCUAUAUUCCUGAAAGAUGUUCAGAAGAGGAGACUUCUUGGAUGUGUUACAAGUGCGUAUCACAGGGAGAAGCAGACUAGUGCCUUCUAACCAUAUCCUCUAAGGACUACCCAGAAGAUUUGUAUAAUAUCACCCUGAGAUGGAGUUUACUGUGGGGCCAGUGAUUAAGCUUCCUUCAUGAUGGAUCUGAAAUAUAAUCUAAUACAGUUGCACAAGUCUAUUUUCUUGAGUAAUUUCCACAUUCUCUUGGGUAAUUUUCACAUCUCAUAGGAGGCUCAGUUAUAAAUAAAAUUAAUGAAGUUUCUUGGCA
rnacentral:lncRNA from 1 species